AGCAAGCCCUUCGAUCUGGCUUUCUUGCGGCCAGUCGCGUAAGAGUUGACUGCCUGCAUACUAAAUAGGAAACAAAAGUUUAUUUUCAUCGGAGCGUCAGCAAGUGCAACUUUGGCCACAAGACCAAAAGGCUGGCCCAAGGCGGGGGUGGCCAACACAUAUGUCUGGUCGAUAUGGAAAGCGAAGAAAGCGCCGAAGACAUGCGUUAGUG
rnacentral:lncRNA from 1 species